UUGACGCGAGACGCGUGGUCUGCCUCUCAGUCAGCAGGAAGAUGUGGUGCAGAAGGAGGACACUUCAUUAUGUGGGUUCAGAUGGACCGGCUGCAGUGGACACUUCUGCGGCACCGCCAUGUUGUUACUACGGAACUGACACCACAGGCCGUGACUGUAGUUGACGUGCUGGCACCCGGUGUUAAACAAACAUGAAGGCUGAGUGUUGGUGUUGGAAUAGAACUACACACUGCUCGCCUUUAGGCGUAAAGGCAGAGGAUCUGUGGUGCUGAUAUCUACAGACUGAAGGGAUCCUGACAGGCAGUUUUGGAUGACUUGGAUGCAACUGCUGUCUUGGCUACAUCGACCAGUUUCGGCAAAUGUCAGGAUGUGGAGUUCUGUCUGCAUACCUCGACCUCACAGGGGCUUUAGAUUUCAAGACGAGGGUUUUUAUUUUUAUUUUUGUUUCUAAUCUCUCAUUUGAAGGUUUAAAACCAGAUCUAUCAAAAUGUUUGUUUUUAAUGUCUGUUAAUCUAAGCAGCAGCAUCAAUAAGUCAUAUUGAACACAUUUUACACUGGAGUACAGCAAGUGUACAUUUUGAGUUGGAUAAUUCUGAGGUUGUAGAGAAAAGAUGGCUGUAAAUUCUGUUUGGAAAAAUGAAGCAAAUGCUGAAAUCCCUUAAACCAACGUUCUGUCUGAAAGCCACCAAAUGUCAACUGCGAGGUUUGCAGAUUAUGAGAAAUGGCUUUCUAGUAAACUCUUUACUGCAAGUUUAUGGCAUCACUCAUUUGGGGUCAUAACAAAAACAGCAAGAUGAUGUGGUGCUGAAGUCUGACUAUACAAUGAUACAAGCAUUAAUGUACAAGAGGCUGAAUAACAGACAAAUGCAUGAUUGUUCCUCAUUUUGGCUCAACAUUUGUCAUCUGUCUGUUUUAUUGGCCUGAUGUGAUGGAAUCAUUAUUUGAGAAAUGUACUUAAACCUUUUUGUCCCUACUUUGUUGUCAAGCUUCCUCUUUAAAAGGUGAAUAAACUGAACAAGAAAUGUG